rnacentral:tRNA from 1 species
GCGGGGGUACCCAAGCGGUCAAAAAAUUUGGCUAUAGGGGCUAGGUUUAGGGCCUAGUAGCUUAGUGCUUUCCAGGGUUCGAAUAGCGUUUGAAGCCGACUAGUCGGCUUCCGUCGAAAUUCCCUGCCCCCGCA